CUACUGUACCCCCACGCGCUUGUGAGCACCACCUGCCCACCCCUAGUCUAGCCAGUGCCCGUCGCACUUCCAUCAGAGCCACGUCACGAGAAAGACGCAGGAGAACACUU
rfam:Myotis brandtii contig230580, whole genome shotgun sequence.